rnacentral:lncRNA from 1 species
GGGUUUCACUUUGCCUGAGAGAAUCCCUCGAUCCCCUCCUCUUCCCUGAGAGCUCCAGCUUCCUUUAGCAUCCUUCUCGACCUUAGGCAUCCUCCGGGUCGACUUCCAUCAUCCUUGCCAUCUUCCUGCACUCCUCGGGCCAACCUAGGUUAGUUUCGGAACUUCUUGUCAUUUUUCUAUUCUUUCUUCUUCGUAUUCCAUUCGUUUAGCUUCCUCGAGAGCUUGUUUGCUAUUUUUCCUAAUUUUUUUCGAUAUUUUUGUGGCUUCCAUUUGAUCCAAAAUAUCUUUCGAUAUCUCCUCUUCUAGCAGUUCUUGGAGUUCGUUAGCCCCAGUUCCCCAAAGUCCUUAUACCAUAGACAAACCCGUAGUUAGGACCGAACCUCAUCUGGUCUUUGUGCUGGACACCAUCCCUAGCUCUUUGACUCCGGAUGAACUCUCACUGAUAAGGAUUCAGUAUGGAGUUCCUCCGGAGUACGAGCUAGAGCUUCCCGGGCCAAC